rnacentral:rRNA from 1 species
CCUACGGGUGGCAGCAGUGAGGAAUAUUGGUCAAUGGGCGUAAGCCUGAACCAGCCAAGUCGCGUGAGGGAUGAAGGUUCUAUGGAUCGUAAACCUCUUUUAUCAGGGAAUAAAGUGUGGGACGUGUCCUAUUUUGUAUGUACCUUAUGAAUAAGGAUCGGCUAACUCCGUGCCAGCAGCCGCGGUAAUACGGAGGGUGCGAGCGUUAUCCGGAUUUAUUGGGUUUAAAGGGUGCGGCGGCGGCCUUUUAAGUCAGCGGUGAAAGUCUUUGGCUAAACCAUAGAAUUGCCGUUGAAACUGGGGGUCUUGAGUAUGUGUGAGGCAGGCGGAAUGCGUGGUGGAGCGGUGAAAUGCUUAGAUAUCACGCAGAACCCCGAUGGCGAAGGCAGCCUGCCAAGCCAUGACUGACGCUGAUGCACGAAAGCGUGGGGAUCAAACAGGAUUAGAUACCCUUGUAGUC